rnacentral:rRNA from 1 species
ACGAAGGGGGCUAGCGUUGCUCGGAAUCACUGGGCGUAAAGGGUGCGUAGGCGGGUUUUUAAGUCAGAGGUGAAAUCCUGGAGCUCAACUCCAGAACUGCCUUUGAUACUGAAAGUCUUGAGUAUGGGAGAGGUGAGUGGAACUGCGAGUGUAGAGGUGAAAUUCGUAGAUAUUCGCAAGAACACCAGUGGCGAAGGCGGCUCACUGGCCCAUUACUGACGCUGAGGCACGAAAGCGUGGGGAGCAAACAGG